rnacentral:tRNA from 2 species
CGCGGGGUGGAGCAGCCUGGUAACUCGUCGGGCUCAUAACCCGAAGGUCGUCGGUUCAAAUCCGGCCCCCGCAACCA